rnacentral:lncRNA from 1 species
AUCACACAGGUGACAGAAACCACGGAUGAAUUUCUGCUUAUACAGCUGGUCGGCCUUCAACUCCAUGCGCCGAAUUACCUGCAUGGUCCGGUAGUACUUGAGGGCCUCGGCUCGGGUGGCGUCGUUGGAGAACUUCAGAGAUGACAGCAGUCCUCUGAGAGCUGGCUUUUGGACCAUUCCCGAAAAUACGUGAGACAGCACAGCGGUCAGCAUUUUCCUCAUGGAGAAACGCGAGGCACAACGGUAGCGGCUCGGCUCCCAACGAUCACUCAGUGGCUUUUAAGAUGGCUGCCGAGCUCCUCUGAUGCAACAAUAACGGGAUGCAAACGCGUUGCCUACGUCAGCAAGCUGGAAGCCACGCCCACGGGGCCUGCUCCUCUGAUGCUUCUAACUGGAAAGGGAGGAUCUCCCACACUUUCCUCCUAUUUAACAUCAUGGUUGCCACUCACACAGCAACUGAGUGUCUUUUCCCUGUACAACUCAAAAAAGUCCUGGCAGGGUAGGGACAUAGCCUACUGUGCAGAGCUUUUGGGUUCCAUCCCAGCACCUCUAAACUCAGACAGUAACUGUGCCACACAUACCUGUAAUCUCAGACACUAGGCAUUGAGGUCCUAGUAGAUAGGUUUUUCUCACUCCUUCCAUUCCUCUGGUUGUUUUUGAUCUUUAAAGUACACUUGGGGGUAAUCUGAAGAAGGCAUUCUGAAUUUGUCUUAGAAGUGCAACUCUCCUUUCAUCGACAGCAAAUGAAAAACUUCACAGCAGCAGACAGGGCUGGAUGAGAAAAGAACAGUGGAUUUCACAAACCCAGAAUCUUCAUUCAAAUUAAAAUUCACAAAUAAAGCAAAUGUUCUUGAAAAUCAAGGUUGCUUCCUUCAAGAAGACUUAAAGAGCAAUGAGGAAGGUUUAAAGAGAAAGGAUUGUUGGCAAAAUUCCAGGGCACUGCUGCCCCCUAGAAGGAACUCUGAGCAACACACUUGACCAAUUCAAUCAUAUCUAAAGAAAGACAGAGGAAGAUUCUCCGGCAUGGUUUAGAAAAAAAGAGAUUCAUCAUCAUUGAAUGACACACGAACAGCUGUUACAGAGGCCAUGAAAUGAAAGUGCCACGUUCCAGGCACAGAUGCCAGUCUCCUGAUAAAAUUCUACUUCAAUCAGAACUUCCUGCUCAUCUCAGCAGAGGAAGAACCUUAUCUGGAAAUCUAACCCUGGCCUUUGCAACGUAACCUUCUAAUUUAUCAUAAUGAUGCUCCACACUCCCACAUCCCCACCAGAGAAUCAUUGAUUUUUGUAUUCUUUGGAUUGCUUUCAUGCUCAAAUUUCCUCAUCUGUAAGUAGAUACCAGAGACCUCAUUGCCUCCUUGAGAUUUCAUCCCAUAUUAUUCCUUUUAUCUAGUCAGACUCCACAAAUAUGUAGCCAGCACCCACUGUCUCCAUUUACUUUCCUCUAAUUGCUUCCAUAUGCUUCUGCAAUCUGUGUCAUCAUCAAUGAACUAAAAUUUCUCACAUCAAGGACUUGGCUAAAUUUAAUGACAACUAUUGUAUUAUCAGUCUCUGAGACUCUCUAUCACAUAACAUAAUUUUCUCCAUGGAUAUAUUCUUGCCCUGACUCAAAAGCAAAAUGAAAUAUUUUGAGUUUAUAAUGCGUAUAAGCAGUCUUCAUUUCUUAAUAUAUAAACCAGGACCCAAAAGUAACUAUGGAUAUAUAUAGCUUAAUGAUUUGUGUUCUGCUCAUGCCAACUUAAACAAUUUCCCACCAGGGCUCAGAUGCCUUACUUCUUGAAUUCCCACUAGCAAAAAGAUGCCAGUCCUGUGGAGGAGGAGAAGAAGAAUAUUUUAUUUGAGGGUAAAAUAAUUGGGGUACAAAAACUGAAUCACCUAUAAAGAACUACAGUAUCUUUCAGUUCAACAUUGAAGACUACCAAAGUUUACCCUUCAAAGGGAGACUUGAAAACCUCAUAAAGACAGAGGAGGGACUGAGAAUCAUCAAUGAUUAAUGAGCUACCAUUACUACUAAAGUGAAAACCUCUGUUUUACUGGGAUACUUGGGCUGGAGCUGCAAAUUUGGCAGUGAUUAAAAUAAGAACAGCAUCUUUGAGUUGAAAUCUUCUGAGAACUGCUUCCUGAGAGUCAGCACACAGAAGCUGUGUUCCAGCCAUGGCCAAAGAUGUACCUCAAGCUGGCAGUGAAACUUGGUCCUGUAUGAGUCACCCAAAUGGUUCUGAAGGCAUGAAGGCAUCAUGGAGAACAGCUAAGGCUUGGCACUGUGAGAGGUCAGGAGAGGCAUUGGUGAAGGUGCAGCCUCAGUGUUAUUUGAAGGCUCCUGCCUGAGGGGAUCAUGCAAAAGAGUUGAGGCUUGGCACCAUGAAUAGAUCCUGAGUCAAUUGACAGAAAUGCUAUCCAGUUGUAGCAAAAGACCCCAGCAUUUUCGAGAAGCCAGUAAAAUGGGAUGGCUACCAAGAAAAGCAGCAGCUGUAGAGUGGAGUCUGCCUGAGCAUAGAAGACAGGCUACGUGUGCUACAGACAGCAAGUUGGAGAAGUGACUCAAAGCUCCUUGCAAGAGGACAGAAGGUUUGUUGCUAGUACAUAGAAACCAUGGACUUUUUCGAUUAUUUGAAUUUUCUGGACAUUAAAAAAAAAAUCUCCAAAACACAAGAAAAUCAAGAAGGAAGACCAAUUCGUGGAUACUUCAUUCCUCCCUAGAAUAGGGAAUAAAAUAUCCACGAAAGGAGUUGCAGAGACAAACUUUGGAGCUAAGACAAAAGGAUGGACCAUCCAGAGACUACCCCACCCAGGGGUCCAUCUCAUAAUCAGCUGCCAAAUGCAGUCACUGUUGCAUAUGCCAGCAAGAUUUUGCUGAAAGGACUCUGAUAUAGCUGUCUCCUGUGAGGUUUUGCCAGUGCCUGACGAAUACAGAAGUGGAUGCUCACAGUCAUCUAUAGAAUGGAACACAGGGCCCCCAGUGUAGGAGCUAGAGAAAGUACCCAACAGCUGAAGGAUUCUGCAACCCUAUAGAUGGAACAACAAUAGGAACUAAUCAGUACCCCCGGAACUUGAGUCUCUAGCUGCAUAUGUAGCAGAAGAUGGCUUAGUUGGCCAUCAUUGGGAAGAGAGGACCCUUGGUCUAGCAAACUUUAUAGGCCCCAGUACAGGGGGAAAGCCAGGGCUAAGAAGUGGGAGUGAGCGGGUAGAGGAGCAGGGCAGG